rnacentral:lncRNA from 1 species
GUGCUUCAGCCCGGGCAGCCUUUCCUAACGGGCAAACCCUGGCAGAAACAUGCGCCCCCCCCGCACACACGCCAUUCCUAUGGCGAAAAAGCAUUGGAAGGGGGCGGCUGCCCAAAGCAGGGCUUUGGAGGGGGGGGUCUCCAUCCCUUGCCCAUUGUCAGCAGAGAGUCAAACCCUCGCAUCACCCCACUUGCUUCCCUUCAGGAGGGUGGGAGGUAUCCUGGCCCACCCCAAGCAGCCGCUCAGCCCGACACCAGAUUCGGGAAUCUAAUUCCCAUAUAUAGAGUUUUAAAGUGGGGGCCGGAGGCAUGCCAAAGGUUUUGGGCCAGAUCCGUUAAUUUAGCACCAACACUCACAAAAACUCUUCCCAAGCGCUCCUCGCUCUGGUGGGCGAGGGAGGCUGCAGGUGGGCGCCCGUCACACGCCUUCGGUCUCGGAAACCCUUUUUGGGCCAAAGUUGCCAGCCCGACCAAGACUCAGCAGAAGCUUCCUUCCCUGGCUGCUCCAUGGGCCAAAGUUGCCAGCCCGACCAAGACUUGGCCGAAGCUUCCUUCCCUGCCUACCUUUCCCAGUUCUGGCUGCUCCGGUUUCUGUUGGGCAAGAGGCGAGCCUCCCCCACCCCAUUGCUCCUUCCUGGUCCUGCUCUUUCCAGGCAUGGGGGGGUUGACGAGAGCCAGGUCGGAGAUCGGGGUGGCGGUGGGUUGGAUCACACCGCCCUCCCCGAUGCCCAGCUGGCUCCCUUGCUUUGGCACGAGGACCUGCAGAGGCGCCCGGCCACCUUGGGGGAGGAUGGUUUUUUUUUGGUGGUGGUGGGGAGCGGGCAAGAUUGUCCCCCACCCGGAUCCGGCUGCCCCAGCUUUCCAGCGCCACAGCCCACGAGGAGGUGUCUUAAGGAUCUGGAAGGAUGUCACCCACAGGGUGGCCAGCUGGAUGAAAGACCACCGCCUGGGAAGUUCUCCGCAAACGGGGGCUGAGCCCAGCCACCCUUUUUCCCGUACGUACCGGCCUGCGUUGCCCAUGGAUCCGUUUGGACGCUCGGCUAAGUCUCAGCCACAAAAGGGGGGCAAGAGACCCACGGCCUUUGUAGGCAAGGAUGGGGAUCAGAAGCUGGGCAGAAGAGCCUCCCUCGUUUGCCCCGACGGUGCCCAUUUCUAG